CCCUUAGAUGUUCUGGGCGGCCCGCGCACUACAUUGGCACUAGCAAAGAGAUCCUAGAUUGAAUUCUUUGGGGUAUUCUUCUAAAUGGUGUCGUGACUGGGAUAAAUCCUUGUAAUUAUUGGUUUUGAACGAGGAAUUCCUUGUAAUCGCGGUUUAUCAGCUCGCGUUGAAUGCGUCCCUGCCCUUUGUACACACCGCCUGUCGCUCCUACCGAUGGAUCGUCCGGUGAAGCUCACGGAGUGACUGUUCACGCAACGGUUUACGAAGUGAAAUGGACCUCACGAUUUAGAGGAAGGAGAAGUCGUAACA
rnacentral:rRNA from 1 species